rnacentral:tRNA from 1 species
ACUUGAAUAGCUUAAGUUAAAGCUUAAUAUUGAAGAUAUUAAAAUGGAUAAAUUUAUUCUUCAAGUG